CACACCAUAGCUACUGGGGAGUUCUACAACUGAGCUGACUGCUAUGGCUCUUGGACACUAAGGGUCUCUUGGCUCUAUUUUGUGUUUGUAGGCAGUAGAAGUUUUCCUGUCAAAUGGAAAGCUGUUUUCUGCUCUUUUGCCCUGAUCCUGUGUGAGCAGGCUAGAGCCAAUAGCCCCAAUAUUCCUGGAGCCUAUGUACCCCAGUGUAACAAGGAGGGCCUGUACACCCCAAAGCAGUGCAACGGCUCUACAGGAUACUGCUGGUGUGUUAACACCGAGGGAUAGAUGUCGUCUCUCCACUACUCCAGGCUCUCCCAUUCCAUGUGUAGUGAGACUGUCCCAAGCAGCCAGAAGCUCUCAGAAGACUUCAAGACCCAGUGUUAAUGAGGUAGCAGGACCUGUUAACCAAUACCCCUGUGGGUUGCCCUUAUGGGUUCCAAAGGCCUCUCAGAAUGUUGGACCUCCUAUGGGUGGCAGCCCAGACACAUCCACCCAUCUCCAGAAUCCACUGGUGGCCAGCAAGGUAAAGGAAACAUCUCCCUCUGCUGCUGAGCAGCAAGAACCGGCCCCAUGGAUCAAGCAGUGUGUUGGGCCCCACCAGCUGCCACGAUCCUGUUCUACCUCCACCCAGCAUUAUUUUUCAGAACCAUAACGACUAUGAACGAGGCAGUGGUUUUCUCCAACACCCUCUACUCCCCAGGAGACCCAGCCCAGCCCUCUGUUAGUGUUGUAUCCCAUGAUAUCAGUAAACCUGUGCCUAACCAGCCUCUCCUUAGACCAAGUGCUGGAUCCAAAGGAGUGGAGUAUCCUAUCCUCAGGUACUGUUACAACUACAUGUGUAGUAGUCUAAUUUGGAUGAC